GCGCGGGGGGCGGGGCGCCUUCCGACCCGGCUCCGCGGCGGCGGCAGCCAUUGGACCCAGCCGGGUCUCCUGCAUUAAUUUGACAAACAUUUAUUAAAGAUCGAGUUCAAUGAGCGCUAUGAGUUUCUGAACUCCCAACUCACGUGAUAAGAAAUUUUUCUGAUCCCGUGACCACACUUUGAGAACUGCUGUUCUAACCUAGAAGGCUGGGCUCCCUCUGAUGAUUCUGGAUUAAUAAAGUUUCACUACAUGUGAA